UAAUGGCAAACGCAAGACAAAGACUGGAGGCUCUGAGCUUCAAUAAAAACCUUUUUCGAAUCGCUGCUCUGCUGUUUCUAGUUCACAUCGGACAGUCACUGGAUUCUGGAGAUUAUCUGCUUCGGAAACAGUUUGUGGAAAGCUGGAAUAAUGUACAAAAAUUGAUCACACACCUGACAGAAGUCCAAAGUGGCACUGAAUUUAUCUUAACACUUUUGGAUGAAGCAAAUCCUCUGGAAACCAAGAAGCAUCUUGAAAUAUUUCAGCAAUAUCUUCAAGCAACUGUAGAUGAAGCACACAGACAGAAGGUCGAAAAAUCAUCUUAUUUUACUUUGGAGAUGCAAAAUCUUCGUAAGAUCCUGGAUGAUCCUGAAUGGCAACAAAAGUCAGCAUUGUCUCAUUCAUUGGUGAGAAAGUUAAGAAAAGCCAUAGAGCAACGCCUUGAAGUAUAUAGGAUUUAUUUAAAGUUAAAGAGAGACGUCUUCAAUAGAGAUUUAGAGGAGGUUGAAGGAGAACUGACAUAUACUUUGAAUAAAAUCAAAUUCUGGAAGAUAAUUCCCUAUCUUUCUGAAAUUAUACCAAUCUUUUUUUUUUGUGCAUUAGCACUUUAUUGGAUAUGUUCCUGCAUCUGUUCUUGUAUAUUUUCAUACUUAUAAAUUGUUUAACAAUGACCUGACAUUUUGUACCUGCUGAAAAGUUUAGCUCUUUUUGAACUUUGCAUGAUUUAGGUUUGGGGGCAACAGGAGACGGUUGUGUUUGUGUCAGUUAAACCUUCUUUAUGUUUAUAACUUUAAUCACUGAAGGAUCAUUAAACUACAUUUUCAUGUUUCCUGGGAGAGGUCAUUUUGCUAUUUUG